GCGUUUGUUUGGUUUCAAACGACUGUUACAAGAGAAAGUCCUAUGAGUGUGCUACUGCAUUUAUGAUGGAAGAUUGGAAAUACCAUCCUUGUUGCAAUACUGCCUGAAUUCAAGCACUUCAUCUCUUUUGCGAAGAAUAUUGUAUCUUUGUCUUGGGAAGUAUUGCCUGUUGAACAGAGCAGUCAGAUGAAUGGAAAUGACAACGUAGCAAGUUUUGAACUACCAUACACUGAAUUUCAACAGAGUCAUCACCACGUGCUAUGCAUUUUCACCCAUGAUGAACAAGAGUCUGCAUGCCAUGCUCAUAAAUAUCUGCACCAGUGGAGGUGAUCCACUGUUGGAACUGUUGAAACAUGCCACCCAACACCUCACUGUGCUCCCAUCAACUGUUCGGUCUCCAUCAAAGUUCAGUAAAUGUUGAUGAAUGUCAGUGGGUGCCAUAUUUUUCUGCAUGGGGGGAUUCGGUGACAAACCUUUGCUUCUAGUGCACUUCUUUGUGAGACACUGUUUUGUUAUGGUCCCUCUGCUGCCAUCUGUUGCAUGGCAGCAGAACUGAAUGAAAUAUUGGUGGGCAGGUCCAGCUUCUACUGCCAUACCAACAUCCAUCACUAACAUUGUAGGCCAACACAAUGAAAUAGGAGGCAUUACUUUUGGAGCAGACCUUGUACUUUAGUAUGAUUAUAUAUAUUGUUUUGCAGAAACUACCUAAUAAAAUGUAUCUAUUUCUGUUGAGGUUUGACAUCAGAAAUGCUCACAUUUUGUAACUGUACAUAAUAUAUACUUAUUACUAUUUCUUUUGCAUAAAAGUUGCUAUGAAACUUCUGAGAAUAAUUUUACUUUGAUUUUUUUUCAUUUCCUCCUUCCAUGUAAUCACUUAGACAUAAGACUGAAAUUUCAAAAGGUGCCUAAGCAUUUUAAACACACAAUUUCCAUUAAUUUUAAAUCUCUUAAGCAGCUUUGAAAAACUUAGCAUAAAGGCGAAGCCACCCUAGGGUGACGUUUCAAAUUUGCUAAAGUUGAUAGUAAAAUAUACAUUAACUUGUGUGGGACUAAGGUGUUUCCCUGCAUGGUGUUGGGAUAAGGCUUUAAACUAUUCAACGGUCUAUUUAUUUGACAAAAAGUGAAGCAUGGUUUUAAUAUUAUUUUUAAAACUAUCUGUUCAUUUUAAUGAGGCUAAUCUUGUACUUUAAGGUAAAUGCAUUAGUGCUUUCACAGAAGGAGAGACUGAGAUAAAGUGAAUUUUGGUUGUCUUAUAGUAGGAAAACUUGCCUAGAUUGUCAGGAGUUGCAGAGCUGAAAUUGUGAAGCAAAGAGGAUUUGAAAUUCCUCUUGGAUUCUUACGUUAUUAAACAAUUUUUAUUUUUUUUUAAUGGCGUAAUGAUCUCAAAAAUGCUUGUCUGCCUUAAUAUAAGUGGAUGGUGGAUGUGGACAGCAUCACUAUUUAUAAAAUGUGAAGUCUUAGAGAAGAAAAACCAUGGAAAUUUGAGCAUUCUAAUCUAUCAGAAAAUGUUUUCUUAAUUUCCCAUAUUUUGGUUUACACAAAUAUAACUCUUUACAAAAAGAUCAGAAAGUCUAACUGAAGUUAUUAACCAAAGUAAUUUAUUUUUGGAGGGAAGGAAAAUAUAUGCAAAAAAGCUAAUGUGACUGAUUAUAAGCUUCAGUACGUUGAGUGGCAGUUUCAGAAAAGGAUGUGUACAUUUUCUGAAUGUGUUAUCAGUAAACUGAAGGAAUAUCCAUUAUCUUAUGCUGCACAAGAUAACAAAGUCCUUUAUCAGGUUUCUCCUCGUAUUCUUAUUAAAGGAAAUCUGUUUAUUUAGAUAUUUUCCUCUACAUAAUGGUAGAAUUCUGAUUAUAACGGGGAUGUGUGUGCCUGACUUAAGUAGCUCAAGCUCCCUAAAAGGAUGAAUAGGUAUGACACAAUCAUGUUCCUUUUCUGAGCUUUUCAUGGAUGUUUUUCAAUGUGUGGGUUUUUUUUUUUUUUUUUGUAAAUAAUAACAAAUAAGAUGCGAAACCAAAACAAAUUGAAAGAACCCCAUAUGCGAAAUGAUAUAUUCAGCCAUUAGUUGUACAUAAGCACUCCUUUACAUCACAAAAUGAAAGAGGAGAAUGGUAGAAGUUAAACUAUCUGAUAGUAACUGGAGCAAAAUUCCCAGAAUUGUUUAAUUUAUAAUAGGACUAAAGAAAUUUCUAGUUACCAAAGAUCACAACCUUAAUUAAACUAUUUCAUUUACACUCAACUUUUUUUGUUCUGCAGCUAUCAAAAGUGCUCCUUAAAAAAGCAACUGCGCCACCAUAUUUCUAACUUGCCUGAUAUUUCUUUGUUUAUUAGGAUAGAAUAUUAACAGUAUUGUUUUCCUCUGCCAUCCUUCAUCUAUGGAGCUUAUGGUAACAGCUAUGCAUCAAACAGCAGCCAGAUUAUUAAGUAAAGCAUAUCUUGACAAGUCUUUUUAUUUUUCAUGUUGGUAUAAAUAAUAGUAGUGAGAACAGAGUGUAUGUGUGUAUAUAUCUAUUUUCUGUUUAGUAUACUGUCUUGAUUAGAAAUAUGAAAGGUGCAUUGGGAAGAAUUAGUAAAGUUUGACUCAGGAAAAUAGCCAGAAACAUUCAUUGAGUAUAAAAAUAAUAAUAAAAUCCCAUUAAAGUU
rnacentral:lncRNA from 7 species